rnacentral:rRNA from 1 species
AGUGAACGCUGGCGGUAUGCCUAACACAUGCAAGUCGAACGGCAGCACAGUAAGAGCUUGCCCUUACGGGUGGCGAGUGGCGGACGGGUGAGGAAUACAUCGGAAUCUACUUUUUCGUGGGUGAUAACGUAGGGAAACUUACGCUACUACCGCAUACGACGUACGGGUGAAAGCAGGGGAUCUUCGGACCUUUCGCGAUUGUAUGAGCCGAUGUCGGAUUAGCUUGUUGGCGGGGUAAAGGCCCACCAAGGCGACGCUCCGUAACCGGGCCGAGAGGAUGAUCCGCCACACUGGAACUGGGACACGGUCCCGACUCCUACGGGAGGCAGCAGUGGGGAAUUUUGGGCCAUGGGCGGAAGCCUGAUGCAGCCAUACCGCGUGGGUGAAGAAGGCCUUCGGGUUGUAAAGCCCUUUUGUUGGGAAAGAAAAGCAGCAGGUUAAUACCCCGCUGUUCUGACGGUACCCAAAGAAUAAGCACCGGCUAACUUCGUG